UACGGCCACAUCGUGUUGAAACACCGCUUCCCGUACGAUCACCGAAGUUAAGCAACGUUGAUCCAGAUCAAUAACUAGAUGGGUGGUCGCUUGUGAAUACCAGAUGCUGUA